UACGUAGGGGCCGAGCGUUGUCCGGAGUUAUUGGGCGUAAAGCGCGCGCAGGCGGCCUCGCGCGCCCGACGUGAAAGCCCCCGGCUUAACCGGGGAGAGUCGUUGGGGACGGCGGGGCUUGAGGGCGGGAGAGGGUGGUGGAAUUCCCGGUGUAGCGGUGGAAUGCGUAGAGAUCGGGAAGAACAUCAGUGGCGAAGGCGGCCUGCUGGGCUGUUGCUGACGCUGAG
rnacentral:rRNA from 1 species